UACCCACCAAGGAUCAUUGAUCAUCAAGAUGAUCCUCAUGAGUCUCACAAUCUAUCAGUGACACCUAGCAGUAUGUAGGACAAUCCAGCAGAAUAAAAUAUAAAUCUCUAGAUACAGUUAACACAUGAUACAGUCUCUUUAUCGUGAGUCCCAACCAGAUGAUAGGUCAUGGAUAAAUCAUCAAACCUUAACAUCAGUCAUAUGAUAAAUUCAAUCAGCUUGAGU
rnacentral:lncRNA from 1 species